rnacentral:lncRNA from 1 species
CAUAUAUUGUAGUGAUGGGCGUGUAGACUCUUAGCCCGUGGGUCGGUUUGUGCAAUUUACAAUUAUACAGCCCGCAGCUCCAUCAAAAAUUGAGCUCAUUUAUCACGCUGUUUUUUUUCCUGUUUUUUUCGGGUUGGACUUGGUUACGGAAUUCCAAUAAACAGGACGAGUAGGCACUAAGAAAACUAACUUAUGCACUAUAGUGGUAAUGUUAAAGUGAGAAUAUAUAGGAACAGAAUCCAUGCUCAAUGACAUUUUCCCGGGAAAUGAGAAGCCGUAGUAGGUACCUACCUAUAGUAACAAUUAUACGUCAUAGAGAUCUUGCUUCAAAAUAUCAGCACAUUCACACAUACCAUGAUGAAUAUUUGAACGCAAUUAAAAAAGAAUGGAUGACAAAGCUGUUUUAAUUUUUUUAUAAUUUGCUUGCGUGUUAUUAUCGCUUAAAAGAUAUUAUAAGUAUGUAGGUAUGUAUUUAUUAUGAAUAUGUUCUAGCAUUUCGUUGUUAUUUCAGAAAUACGAGGAUAUACGUAACAAUAACAGGUCCUUUGUUAUGUACAGUAUAAAAUAUAUAUGAUAUAUUCAAGUAUCAACUA